CGGGCCCGCAUGGAGGUAUAGGCUCAGGGGGUGGGACGGGAAGCUCCGCAUCCGGUGGCAGGGUCUGGGGAAGGGGCGGCAGGCGCCAUGUCGGGCCGCGAAGGUGGCAAGAAGAAGCCCCUGAAGCAGCCCAAGAAGCAAGCCAAGGAGAUGGACGAGGAAGAUAAGGCAUUCAAGCAGAAACAGAAGGAGGAGCAAAAGAAACUCGAGGAGCUAAAAGCGAAGGCCGCGGGGAAAGGCCCCCUGGCCACAGGUGGAAUUAAGAAAUCUGGCAAAAAGUAAGCUGUUCCUUGUGCCUGAGGCAAUGAUGAUCCUUAGUUCCAUUCCUGUUUAAACAUCUGGAUUAAACAUCUGGAUUCCCUGCCAUAACAUCUGUUGCCACCUAUAGCUAGAAUGAAGUGUUGUCUUGGAACCUAUUGUACAUUUAAGAAUAAACUUUUGUAAAAAAAUAAAUAAAUCA